GCUUCCUGAGCUGACGACAGCCGCAGAAACCAGGCCGCUGCAACUGUUUAUUAAAAACAUAGCACUCUGCAAACACGAAAGUGGACGUAUAGGGUGUGAUGCCUGCCCGGUGCUGGAAGGUUAAUUGAUGGGGUUAGCGUAAGCGAAGCUCUUGAUCGAAGCCCCAGUAAACGGCGGCCGUAACUAUAACGGUCCUAAGGUAGCGAAAUUCCUUGUCGGGUAAGUUCCGACCUGCACGAAUGGCAUAAUGAUGGCGGCGCUGUCUCCAGCAGAGGCUCAGUGAAAUCGAAAUCGCUGUGAAGAUGCAGUGUACCCGCGGCUAGACGGAAAGACCCCGUGAACCUUUACUGCAGCUUGACACUGAACUUUGACCUUACUUGUGUAGGAUAGGUGGGAGGCUUUGAAGCUGGAACGCUAGUUCCAGUGGAGCCGUCCUUGAAAUACCACCCUGGUAAUGUUGAGGUUCUAACUCUGUCCCGUGAUCCGGGACGAGGACCGUGUCUGGUGGGUAGUUUGACUGGGGCGGUCUCCUCCUAAAGAGUAACGGAGGAGUACGAAGGUGCGCUCAGCGUGGUCGGAAAUCACGCGUAGAGUAUAAAGGCAAAAGCGCGCUUAACUGCGAGACCCACAAGUCGAGCAGGUACGAAAGUAGGUCUUAGUGAUCCGGUGGUUCUGUAUGGAAGGGCCAUCGCUCAACGGAUAAAAGGUACUCUGGGGAUAACAGGCUGAUACCGCCCAAGAGUUCAUAUCGACGGCGGUGUUUGGCACCUCGAUGUCGGCUCAUCUCAUCCUGGGGCUGAAGCAGGUCCCAAGGGUAUGGCUGUUCGCCAUUUAAAGAGGUACGCGAGCUGGGUUUAGAACGUCGUGAGACAGUUCGGUCCCUAUCUACCGUGGGCGCUGGAAAUUUGAGAGGAUCUGCUCCUAGUACGAGAGGACCAGAGUGGACGAACCUCUGGUGUACCGGUUGUGACGCCAGUCGCAUCGCCGGGUAGCUAUGUUCGGAAGGGAUAACCGCUGAAAGCAUCUAAGCGGGAAGCCUACCUCAAGAUAAGAUUUCCCUAGGACUUUAUGUCCUCUAAAGAGCCGUUCGAGACUAGGACGUUGAUAGGUUGGAUGUGGAAGCAUAGUGAUAUGUGAAGCUGACCAAUACUAAUUGCUCGUGAGGCUUGACUAU
rnacentral:rRNA from 4 species